UACGUAGGGUGCAAGCGUUUAAUCGGAAUUACUGGGCGUAAAGCGUGCGCAGGCGGUUAUGUAAGACAGAUGUGAAAUGCCCGGGCUUAACCUGGGAACUGCAUUUGUGACUGCAUGGCUAGAGUUUGGCAGAGGGGGGUAGAAUUCCACGUGUAGCAGUGAAAUGCGUAGAUAUGUGGAGGAACACCGAUGGCGAAGGCAGCCCCCUGGGUCAAGACUGACGCUCAUGCACGAAAGGCGUGGGGAGCAAACGAGAUAGAGUACCCGU
rnacentral:rRNA from 1 species